AUUGAACGCUGGCGGCAGGCUUAACACAUGCAAGUCGAGCGGGGUGAUGGUGCUUGCACUAUCACUUAGCGGCGGACGGGUGAGUAAUGCUUAGGAAUCUGCCUAUUAGUGGGGGACAACAUCUCGAAAGGGAUGCUAAUACCGCAUACGUCCUACGGGAGAAAGCAGGGGAUCACUUGUGACCUUGCGCUAAUAGAUGAGCCUAAGUCGGAUUAGCUAGUUGGUGGGGUAAAGGCCUACCAAGGCGUCGAUCUGUAGCGGGUCUGAGAGGAUGAUCCGCCACACUGGGACUGAGACACGGCCCAGACUCCUACGGGAGGCAGCAGUGGGAAUAUUGGACAAUGGGGGGAACCCUGAUCCAGCCUUGCCGCGUGUGUGAAGAAGGCCUUAUGGUUGUAAAGCACUUUAAGCGAGGAGGAGGCUCUUUUGGUUAAUACCCAAGAUGAGUGGACGUUACUCGCAGAAUAAGCACCGGCUAACUCUGUGCCAGCCGCCGCAGUAA
rnacentral:rRNA from 1 species